UGGGGGAUCGUCCAGCGGCAGGACAGCGGGUUCUGGCCCCGUUAACCAGGGUUCGAGUCCUUGUCCCCCAGCCA
rnacentral:tRNA from 1 species